GCUCUUUUUUCAUCUUUUUCAAGGAAUCUUUUUAGAUUCUGUGUAGACAGGUGGGUGGUACUGUCCUUAAAUUGAAUUAAGCCGAAAGAUCAUGUACUUUCUGUCUCAUAUAGGCAUGAGAUUGUGGGAGUGGUGAAAGAAGUAGGCCCGAAGGUAACAAAGUUUAAGGUUGGUGUCGGGUGCUUAGUCGGGUCCUGCGGCUCCUGUGAGAAUUGUGUCAAUUAUUUCGAAAACUACUGCCCUGAAAAGAUCUCCACUUACAAUAGCAAGUACCAUGAUGAUGGCACACUCAACUAUGGAGGCUACUCCAACAUCAUGGUGGUGGAUGAGCACUUCGUGGUGGCGAUUCCUAACAAUCUGCCGCUUGCUGGGGCGGCUCCACUCCUCUGUGCUGGGACCACUGUCUAUAGUCCAUUGAAGUACUAUGGACUUGAUAAGCCCGGGCUUCAUCUCGGUGUGGUCGGUCUCGGAGGAUCGGGUCACAUUGCCGUCAAGUUCGCCAAGGCCAUGGGCCUCAAGGUGACUUGCCAUCGAUAAUAGCCCUGUUAAAAAGCAGAAGGCUGUGGAGUUCCUCGGGGCCAACUCAUUCUUACUUAGUAAUGACCAGGGGUAAAUGCAGUCUGCUAUGGGCAUGAUGUAUGGUAUCAUCGAUACAGUGGUGGAUCAUCCACUUGUACCUUUGACUGGUCUGUUGAAGAACCACGGCAAGCUAGUUACAGUUGGUAUACCAGACAAGCCACUCGAGUUUCCGGCCUUCCCAUUGCUCUCGGGUCGGAAGCUUAUCGGGGGGAAGUUCAAUGGGUGGGCUUAAGUAGACACAGGAGAUGAUAAAUUUUGCCUCAGAGCACAACAUCACAGCGGACAUUGAAGUUUUUCAGAUGGACUCUCUGAAUACUGCAUUGGAGAGACUCG